rnacentral:rRNA from 1 species
CUGGCGGUCUGCUUAACACAUGCAAGUCGAACGCAACCUUCGGGUUGAGUGGCGGACGGGUGAGUAACGCGUGAGAAUCUGCCUUGGGGUCGGGGACAACCACUGGAAACGGUGGCUAAUACCGGAUAAGCCUUUGGGUAAAAGAUUUAUUGCCCCAAGAGGAGCUCGCGUCUGAUUAGCUAGUUGGUGAGGUAAAAGCUCACCAAGGCAGCGAUCAGUAGCUGGUCUGAGAGGACGAUCAGCCACACUGGGACUGAGACACGGCCCAGACUCCUACGGGAGGCAGCAGUGGGGAAUUUUCCGCAAUGGGCGAAAGCCUGACGGAGCAAGACCGCGUGAGGGAGGAAGGCUCUUGGGUUGUAAACCUCUUUUCUCAGGGAAGAAGCUCUGACGGUACCUGAGGAAUCAGCCUCGGCUAACUCCGUGCCAGCAGCCGCGGUAAUACGGAGGAGGCAAGCGUUAUCCGGAAUUAUUGGGCGUAAAGCGUCCGCAGGUGGCGAUUCAAGUCUGCUGUCAAAGCACGGGGCUUAACUCCGUUAAGGCAGUGGAAACUGAAUAGCUAGAGUGCCGUAGGGGUAGAGGGAAUUCCCGGU